GUGGCCACUGGUGUGGCAUAAUUUCCAAAGUGCCGUGAGCUCUACUCACUUCCUGAACAGUAGAACCAUCGCUUCGUGCUGAGAUGUUGGACCUAGAAAGCUUCUGCUGCAAGGGCUCCCCGACACAAUAGAGAUCCUGGAUGAUCAACACAAGCAGCACCUGGGAGACUGUAAAACAUGUGGCUCCUUAUGUCCAUCCCAGACCCAGAGUGAGAAACCCUGGGAGUAGGACUCAGAAAACGAUGAUGGUGCCCUCCUUCCCAGCCACCCUCCCUGCAGCAUGCAUUUAAACGUAAACACUUCACUGAAUUGAGCCUUCAAAUAAGGUGAAUACACUGUCAUUAUCUGUCGGGAGCCAACCAGCAGCCGUCCCUUGACACAGUCAGGAUGGAUGAGAUGCAUCUGCACAGCAGAGGCAAUUGUGGCUGGAUUUCUGUCUAUCUCUCUUAGCAGAAUUGACUAAAGCUCUACUGCCUCCUGGGCCCCUUCACUGUGAUGCUUCGCUUGAGUUCCAGCCCCUUGUCCAGGACCAGAAUCAGAAAAUGCCUCAGGAUGAAAUUUGUUUCAAAGAAUGUCAGCUCACCUUUCUUUCUUUUUCUCCCUGAGAUCUUGUCUCAUCAAUCUGGGUCACCCUCAUAGUUUUUUGAUGACCCUCAAGAGAAUUUUUGUUUGUAUUUUUUUUCCAGCUUUUCUAAUUGCCUCAUCAAAAGCAUGGCCUGCCAAAAGCGUGGCCUGACUCCAUUUCAGCCCAACGAGAUUUGGUAAAUGCCAUUAUUUGAUUUUUAUUAAAAAGUUCUAUAACUUUGGAAAUUUCA